UGCCGCGGUGUGUGAAGAAGGCCUUCGGGUUGUAAAGCACUUUUGUCCGGAAAGAAAUCCUUGGCUCUAAUACAGUCGGGGGAUGACGGUACCGGAAGAAUAAGCACCGGCUAACUACGUGCCAGCAGCCGCGGUAAUACGUAGGGUGCGAGCGUUAAUCGGAAUUACUGGGCGUAAAGCGUGCGCAGGCGGUUUGCUAAGACCGAUGUGAAAUCCCCGGGCUCAACCUGGGAACUGCAUUGGUGACUGGCAGGCUAGAGUAUGGCAGAGGGGGGUAGAAUUCCACGUGUAGCAGUGAAAUGCGUAGAGAUGUGGAGGAAUACCGAUGGCGAAGGCAGCCCCCUGGGCCAAUACUGACGCUCAUGCACGAAAGCGUGGGGAGCAAACAGGAUUAGAUACCCUGGUAGUCCACGCCCUAAACGAUGUCAACUAGUUGUUGGGGAUUCAUUUCCUUAGUAACGUAGCUAACGCGUGAAGUUGACCGCCUGGGGAGUACGGUCGCAAGAUUAAAACUCAAAGGAAUUGACGGGGACCCGCACAAGCGGUGGAUGAUGUGGAUUAAUUCGAUGCAACGCGAAAAACCUUACCUACCCUUGACAUGGUCGGAAU
rnacentral:rRNA from 1 species